UACGUAGGGAGCAAGCGUUGUCCGGAAUCAUUGGGCGUAAAGCGCGCGUAGGUGGCCCUGUAAGUCCGUUGUGAAAGUCAAAGGCUCAACCUUUGAAAGCCGAUGGAUACUGCAGGGCUAGAGUACGGAGGAGGCGAGUGGAAUUCCUGGUGUAGCGGUGGAAUGCGCAGAUAUCAGGAGGAACACCAAUAGCGAAGGCAGCUCGCUGGGACGUUACUGACACUGAGGCGCGAAAGCGUGGGGAGCGAACAGG
rnacentral:rRNA from 1 species